GAUGUCGCCAAGUGGUAAGGCAACGGACUUUGACUCCGUCAUGCGCAGGUUCGAAUCCUGCCAUC
rnacentral:tRNA from 1 species